UACGGGGGGGGGCAAGCGUUGUUCGGAAUUACUGGGCGUAAAGGGCUCGUAGGUGGCCAACUAAGUCAGACGUGAAAUCCCUCGGCUUAACCGGGGAACUGCGUCUGAUACUGGAUGGCUUGAGAUUGGGAGAGGGAUGCGGAAUUCCAGGUGUAGCGGUGAAAUGCGUAGAUAUCUGGAGGAACACCGGUGGCGAAGGCGGCAUCCUGGACCAACACUGACACUGAGGAGCGAAAGCGUGGGGAGCAAACAGG
rnacentral:rRNA from 1 species